rnacentral:rRNA from 1 species
CAAAGGUUCUCUCAGUACGGUCGGAAAUCGUACGUAGAGUGUAAAGGCAAAAGAGAGCUUGAUUGCAAGACAUACAGGUCGAGCAAGGAUGAAAAUCGGACUUAGUGAUCCGGUGGUUCUGCGUGGAAGGGCCAUCGCUCAACGGAUAAAAGCUACCCUGGGGAUAACAGGCUUAUCUCCCCCAAGAGUCCACAUCGACGGGGAGGUUUGGCACCUCGAUGUCGGCUCAUCACAUCCUGGGGCUGUAGUAGGUCCCAAGGGUUGGGCUGUUCGCCCAUUAAAGUGGUACGCGAGCUGGGUUCAGAACGUCGUGGGACAGUUCGGUCCCUAUCCGUCGCAGGCGUAGGAAAUUUGAGAAGACCUGUCCUUAGUACGAGAGGACCGGGAUGGACGUACCUCUGGUGUACCAGUUGUUCUGCCAAGGGCAUGGCUGGGUAGCUAUGUACGGAAUGGAUAAGCGCUGAAAGCAUCUAAGCGCGAAGCCAACUUCAAGAUAAGAUUUCCCACCG